rnacentral:rRNA from 1 species
CCUACGGGGGGCAGCAGUAGGGAAUCUUCCACAAUGGACGAAAGUCUGAUGGAGCAACGCCGCGUGAGUGAAGAAGGGUUUCGGUAUGUAAACUUCUAUCAGCAGGGAAGAAAGUGACGGUACCUGACUAAGAAGCCCCGGCUAACUACGUGCCAGCAGCCGCGGUAAUACGUAGGGGGCAAGCGUUAUCCGGAUUUACUGGGUGUAAAGGGAGCGUAGGCGGCGAUGCAAGUCAGAAGUGAAAGCCCGGGGCUCAACUCCGGGACUGCUUUUGAAACUGUAUGGCUAGAUUGCAGGAGAGGCAA